UCGAUUUCGACGGGAUCGCCAAGCCAAGGCCAAGGACUGAGCGGCCCUCGUUCCCCCUCGAGCUUACCACGCUGUCCGUCCGGCAGAUCAGCGUCCUGCGGCUUGCCCGCGAUGGACUUUCGAACAAGCGGAUCGCUGACCAACUCCUGGUCAGCGAAGACACGGUGAAAUGGCAUAUGCGCAGGAUUUUCGCUGANNNNAAAGCACGCAACCGCGUGCAGGCCAUCAGCGAGGCCGAGCGUCGCAAUCUGAUCUGACGGG
rnacentral:misc_RNA from 1 species